UUGCCGAUGAGGAUAUCAUAUACCAAAUACCAUCUUUCGGGACUGAAUGGCUAUUUGCUUUGUUGAUACUAUUUUGCAAUUCUGAGCUCA